rnacentral:rRNA from 1 species
CAGUCGCCACGGGAAUACGUAGGUGGCAAGCGUUGUCCGGAAUUAUUGGGCGUAAAGGGCUCGCAGGCGGUUUCUUAAGUCUGAUGUGAAAGCCCCCGGCUCAACCGGGGAGGGUCAUUGGAAACUGGGAAACUUGAGUGCAGAAGAGGAGAGUGGAAUUCCACGUGUAGCGGUGAAAUGCGUAGAGAUGUGGAGGAGCACCAGUGGCGAAGGCGACUCUCUGGUCUGUAACUGACGCUGAGGAGCGAAAGCGUGGGGAGCGAACAGGAUUAGAUACCCCCGUAGUCCCUGUCUCUUAUAA